GUUUAGGUAGACUAGUGGUAAGUGAUCUAGUCUGGUAGACCGGAGGUGGUGGGUUCGAUUCCCACCCGUGGCA
rnacentral:tRNA from 1 species